CAUGCCGUAAACGAUGAUCACUAGCUGUUUGCGAUAUAUUGUAAGUGGCAAAGGGAAACCAUUAAGUGAUCCACCUGGGGAGUACGCCCGCAAGGGUGAAACUCAAAGGAAUUGACGGGGGCCCGCACAAGCGGAGGAACAUGUGGUUUAAUUCGAUGAUACGCGAGGAACCUUACCUGGAUUUAAAUGGGGAGUGACAGGCUUAGAGAUAGGCUUUUCUUCGGACACUCUUCAAGGUGC
rnacentral:rRNA from 1 species